ACUCUUGAGUUCUCAGCAGUGACUGCAGACUGCAAGGGAUUCCGUACUUUCAGGAAGGAAGGUAAUGUUGGAGACGGCAGAGUGUUUGACAAACGGGGUGAGCUAGAACAAGGACCAACUGAAGACAGCCCGCUAGGCCCAGAGGAUGAGAGCCUUUGAGGAGAGGACCCUCUAGCUUUGGUUAUUGCAGGAGGGAUCCUCAAGCCAGUCUGAGCCUCAGCCCUGCUCAUCGGUGACUGCACCCCUGCAGGCCAGACGCUGGGCCAGCAUCACACUUGUCCCGUCCCCAAGCAGCUGCAGCCUGCCUCCUUCACCAGUGCCCACAGCCACCGGCGUCAGGCGCUCUCUCUCCUGCAUGCAUGUGAAUGACCAUGCUGACCCUCCAGACAUGCCCGAACCAAAAACCUUGGGGCCAGUUUCUUUCUUUUGGCUCCAGCCCUGGCAUUCUGCAGGCCUUAGCUCCCGUGUCAUCUUCCCGGCAUUCUGCAGGCCUUAGCUCCCGUGUCAUCUUCCCGUGGGCCUCCUUCCAGACCCCGUGUUUAGCCUCAGCCCCCUUCCCUGAUUUCCUCUCCUGCAGCCCGUCUCCACCUGACCGGGAGCGCUCACCGACAGCCACUGCUUUCCUGGGCUCCGCUUGGGAUCUCGCCUGGGAGCGAAGGCUGGGCAGCUCUAGGCUCGAGCUCCAACUUCUGCGCCAACAGUCCGCACCCCACAGGCCAGGCGCCCGACGGGAGGUUCUGCAAGUGUGUCGGAGAUACCCCUGGGGCCGAGGGCCGUGGACACUGGGGUGUCCUGUGGAGCCGGCGGGCCCACUGCGAGCUGGACCCCACGCUGACGUUAGGGCUGUAGGGGUCCAUGCUGUGGCUUCUGGCCGCCGUCGGACCCUGUGUCCAGGGACUCGGAUGCCUCUGGCCCUUCCCGGGCCCCGGUGUGCAGCUCCGUGAGCCCGUGGCCACGGGUGUGUUGGGCCCAGGGGCCGCGGCCACCUAGAUGUGCUGUGGUGUUCCCGGGCCCUUCCUCCAGGGGACUGGCCCUGUCCUUUCGUCACUGGGGUCCAAGCUGGAAACCUGGCUCAGGUGCAGACGGGGACAGAGGACGGGGCUGUUCAGUGCGCGCAGCCUUUACGCCGUUUUCCACCCGGGCCUCUUGUGAGGAGCUAGAGCCAGUGGCCCCCGGUCGGCUCCCCAGCUGCCGUGUCCCCACUCUCAGGGGGUCCGGCGUCCCUCGCUGCCCGCUGGUCUCGCCACUCAGGACAGUGGGUCCAGCCGCCGGCCUUCCCCGAGCCCGGCCCUCCCCGCUCCAGUCCUCCCGCCGGCCGUGCCCGUUCUGUCGUGACGCGGGGCCCCCACUCCCUCCGUGCUCCGGGAGCCCUUCUUAACCUCGGGGAGUGCGAGCGUCCCCUCGAGCCGGCCCCCGUGUCCCCCGUGUCCCUGUCCCAGCCCGCUCUUCCCGCGCCGCGACUUCACGCCGCCGCGGGCCCCUGCGAGCGCGCCCCUCCGCCUUCUUGGCAGGCGAAGCAAGCUUGUGAAAGCGGGU